GCAAAAAAGAAUAUGGUGAAGGCCAAAAUGUAAGAAAGGAGAGGGGAGUAGAUAUGAGAAAAAGGAGAAGGGGAGGUGGUGUUCUUUUUUUGUUUAAUCAUCUUUUUUUUUUGGAAAUAAAUUUUUUUCUUUAG
rnacentral:ribozyme from 1 species